UAAGGAGGGGGCGAGCGAUAAUCGGAAUUACUGGGCGUAAAGCGCACGUAGGUGGGGGCGUAAGUCGGGUGUGAAAGCCCCGGGCUCAACCUGGGAAUUGCAUUCGAGACUGCAUUGCUGGAGUACGGAAGAGGAGGGCGGAAUUCCCGGUGUAGCGGUGAAAUGCGUAGAUAUCGGGAGGAACAUCAGUGGCGAAGGCGGCCCUCUGGUCCAGUACUGACACUCAAGUGCGAAAGCGUGGGGAGCAAACAGG
rnacentral:rRNA from 1 species